rnacentral:lncRNA from 1 species
GGUCGGAACGUCUAAUCAAGACCCCCUCGAGGCAUCCAAGGUCAACGGUCUGGCUAGCGAGGCGCUACACGGCGGCCGACCCUCGACCAGACCCGUUUUCUUCCUGGGGAAGGGUUGAGCGUCGAAUGGCAACACAGUGUUGGGUAUUUUAAACGCAAACAGAAAAAUCCGCAAGCGCACGGAUACCGAUGUAGCUUUCACCCGGGAGUAUUCCAGAGUAUCGAUUUUCCACUGGGAACGUGAGUGUACUAAUUAAGAUCCAAAAUCGCCCAAGGAUAACUAUAUAAGUAUUUUUGGUGGGAAGAGAGGAAGUUUCCUGAGAGUUCUCUAGUUGAUCUAAGAAUCAAGAAUUACUUCAAGAUUAUCU